rnacentral:rRNA from 1 species
UACAGAGGUCUCAAGCGUUUGUUCGGAUUCAUUGGGCGUAAAGGGUGCGUAGGCGGCGCGGUAAGUCGGGUGUGAAAGUCUCGGAGCUUAACUCCGAAACUGCAUUCGAUACUGCCGUGCUUGAGGACUGGAGAGGAGACUGGAAUUUACGGUGUAGCGGUGAAAUGCGUAGAUAUCGUAAGGAAGACCAGUGGCGAAGGCGGGU